AAAUUGCUUCAUAAUGGUGAACUCUCUUAGAUUAUAAAAAGUGAGAGAUGUUCAAGUUUCCGGAGCAAAUAUUAAACUGGCCAGAAUUUAACAGCUCUGUGUUUAAAUUUUACUAUUUUCACAGUGUUACCUGUCUUCUGGUAUAUUUCAUUAAAUUU
rnacentral:snoRNA from 1 species